UGAAGAUAAAGAAAAUAAGUAAACUUUUAAGCUUUUCUCCAUCUUUAAACUUUAUUAUGAAUCGUAUUUAUUAUAAAUUGGAGCUAUAUAACGUAAGUCACAGAAGCAUGUGUGCAGUCACUGUGGGACACCUAAGGACACACUGCUCUAAACACCCGUGUAAAUUCCAAGCACAUUCUCUCCUAUCUCUUAAAAACUACUGACUUUUCAUCCUCUGACUCCUUCUGGAACUCUAUUAUCAAAGUGUAGCCAGCGAUUGCACUUUACCUGAGCAGAGGUCCCAGGGUCGGCCAUGUUUCCCUGCCACACCAACAUAAGUCAUUGUGAAAGGCCUAGAAGGUGUGACUCAGCACACACAGGUCGUCUGCUGUGUGACCUCACUGGAGCUCUCAGUGACCAAAGGCCACAGUCAGUCCUGAGUCCUGAAGGGGUGUGAGGCACCCAGACCAUGAUCCAUAAGUACAGACAUAAGUAGGAAGCGUCAACUAGCCUCUCAAAGUUGGGUCCACCAACCCAUGGCAUUCUGCUUUCAAGAUGUCUGCCAAAGCAGGGCCUCUGGGGUUCUUGCAGGGAUAGGGAGAUUCUGGUGCUGCUAUCUACCUGCUAGCAUGUUGCCACAUGCUACCACAAAAGAAAAGACAUACUUUCCCCAGGACCCAGAAAUGAAGGAAAACUCCAAGUGAAUUUUAACCUACAGAGACCAGAGGGGCUGUUUAAACGGUUGUGUCAAACUGCAUUUACCACCCACUCCAUUCUAUCCUGGAAGUAAAAUCUACAAGAAGAUACAAUGAGUUACAGAGAAAUAAGGAAGUCAAAGUCCUACCCUGAGGUCCCAACCACAUCUGGACGUGCCUGGAACUUUGGCAGAGGAAGCUGGCUGGAAAUCUGUUUGAGAGAUGAAAAAAGGGCCCCUCUGGGAGGUUAUUCUCACACUAAAAACAAAACAAGUUGGGCUGGGAAACAAAGCCUUAGUUGACAGGAGUUGGAUGAUCCGAGGCCCACAGAGCCUUGCUUUGUGGACUUUCCUGCUGAGUGACACUAAAGGGACCGCAGGCUACCAUCCGGCUUGGUAGUUCCCAGGAAAAAGAAGGUGGACUGUUCAGUGGCCACAGUGACUCCCCCAAGGCAGGCAUGUUCUGCCCUCUGAAGCAGGCUGCAACACUUCUGGGAGAUGCUCCCAAAUGGACUCCUGCCUUUCACUGGUGACAGGUUUCUAUCCAGUCUAAAAUAUUUAUGUGGCUCAGUAUCUGGAAUCCUCCUAGACGGUGGAAGAGCAGAGCAGCUCGGAAUCCUUGCACAGCCCCAUAGAGUGGAGCUAUCUUACCAAACGUUCCGUCCUCAACUGAAACACAAGUGACUCUGGUGCCCAGUGCUGAAACAAUGCCUGACACCUAGAAACUCCAAUAAGCAAACAAAUACAGACUGAGCUGUUGAAAGAUCGAAUGAAACCAAAGUGUCAGGCCCUGUCCUUGCUGCUAUACUUUAAGAACAAAAAUUCUUUGACCACUCAGAAUGGCCAAAAUGCCCAGUUUUUCAAAAUCAGCCUUGUUAGAUACUUCAGCACAGCAACACUCAGAGAACAGUGAGGUGUUCCUGUCCCUCCAGGGUUCCCAUAAUGCCUUGGGGCAAGAAAGCAAUACUCAAAGGCGAAGCAGGCCCGAGCCCAGAGUGAGCGCUGCUGGACUCCUGUUAGGACAGCUAUUAGAUUUGUGGUUACCGGAACAAAACGUGGAUGUUACAGCCAUUGUACCAAGAAAGUAAAAUGCCAGCGACGAGCUUGGCAGAAGAAGGGAGUAAAAGGGUCCGUGCAGAAUAAAUGGUUCCGCUCCUGGAGCUGACAGUCAGUUUGAGGUACUUCGAGAGGCUGCUAGGGAGCCUCAGAGGGGCAGCAGCAUUGCCUCGGGGCUUCAAUAGAGCUGUGUUGGAUGAAACAGAAACAGAAACAGAAACUGUGGUACGCUAAACUGCCUUGGCCGUCCUCACAGAGAGAGAAAACAACAGAAUGAAUGACGGCAACACGAGUGAGUGAUGGAGAGGAAAGAGGAAGCUGGCUUGUUUGGCCAUCGCAGAUGGAGGAAUGAAACACAUCUGUGGGAUCCUGGGCAUCCUGACUGAGGUGGACAGAGACCUUUUGUCUAAGGUCAUCUCAGAAGGGAGCCUUUGGACAAUAAGAUCCUCAUAUUUAGACCAGUGAGGGUCUCAGUGGAAAGACCCCUCAUCAGUAGUAAGAGACCUUGUAGCAUGAAGCUGUCUCGGGCGUCCUCGGCCAUGGUAGAACCAGAUAGCUUCUAAAGCUUCAGGAAUUUCUAAAGGAGCAGACAUUCUUACCCCUGAGAUAAGACUAAAAGAGGAAAACUGGGGACCCCACAGAUAUCCUACAGUAGGGAUGAGAAACAUAGAAAGACGAUAUCUGGGCCAUUUGGGGGGGUCACACGGAAACUGGGAUAUCUUGGUAGAGACUGUAGGGGAAGGAUGCUGUACCUAAAACAAGUAUGCCAUUCACUCAAGACCCGAUGGCCAAGAUAUGACAUAGUUCCACCACCCCCAUUAAGAUGUGGCCAACAGAGGCGUUGCAGAACUAACUUAAAUGACCAGGUUUGCCUUAAUUCAAUCAUCAUGGCUUUUGUUACCAGCUGUACAGAGUUUCCAAGGAGAGAAUAUGAUUUUUAAGUUUUGUGUGUAGCACACCAGAAUAUUUAACAUGGACAUUCAGCCUAAAUGUGUUAACUCUUUCCGGAUUAGAGUCCGUGGACAGAUAACAUCUUUCACCUGGGCAUUGCAAUGAACUCAGAACCAGAGCUGGGUAGGAAGAUCAGGAGUUCAGCUACAUAGUAAGUGUACUGGCUGGUUUUGUGUGUCAACUUGACACAAGCUGGAGUUAUCACAGAGAAAGGAGCUUCAGAUGAGGAAAUGCCUCCACGGGACCCAGCAUUUUCUCAACUAGUGAUCAAUAUGAGGACCCAGCCCAUUAUAAGUGGUGCCAUCCCUGGACUGGUAGUCUUGGGUUCUAUAAGAGAGCAAGCUGAGCAAGCCAGGUGAAACAAGCCAGUAAGAAACAUCCCUCCAUGGCCUCUGCAUCAGAUCCUGCUUGCUGACCUGCUUGAAUUCCAGUCCUGACUUCCUUUGGUGAUAAACAGCAAUGUUGAAGUGUAAGCUGAAUAAACCCUUUCCUCCACAACUUGCUUCUUGGUCAUGAUGUUUGUGCAGGAAUAAAAAAACCUGACUAAGACAGUAAGUUUAAGGCCAGUCUGACUACAUGGGACUCUCUCAUUAACAAACAAGAAACAAAAAUCCCCAGAAUCAGCCUCCAGUAUUUGUUGAAGUAUCUUAAGAUAAAUAUUCCUCAGGUUGAAGAUGACUCCCAUCUCCACCAUUUUCAGUGCCAGGUACUACAUGGAAGUUUCUAGAAAGAAAGAACAACAAGGUGUAUAUGGGGCAACCCUGUGGAACUGCUGUCAGUUCCAGGCUGGGGUGGCAGGAGCUCCCGAGACGGGGAGAAACAUUCUGGGCUGAGGUAAGAGUAGCAAAUUCAAAUCCCAUGAAGACCCAGCUCAGUGGGAAAGCAGCAUGUGGGCUGUGUGCCUGGAGCAAACCGUUGGAAUGGGGGAUGUUUUAUGUUCCACUUACACGGCCAAGAGUCAGAACCCGAGAUGAGCUGAGCUGCCUGUUUCCCAUGGCGUUUCAGCAACCCUGAGUAUCUUUCUCUGUGUGUGAAUGAGUUCAGACCAAGGGCUGGCCAGGGAACUGACACCCCCUUCCUCUCAUGUGGAGUUCUUAUAGAGAGGAGCCAGCUGGGGGGGAGUUGCUUGGAGAAAAGGCAUGCUUCCUGGGCCAAGAAACCUCAGGAAGACGCCAAACGGGCGGGCAGGGCAGCCCAACCAGCAGGAUAGUCCACAGGCUCUUUCCAGCUGACCCUGAGACGCUGAUCUUCUGCCAGAGCUGGCCUGAUCUCUGCAGUUGCAAAGCCAACUCAAGGUUUCAGCACUGCGAGACCUUGAUUGCUCUCCUCCCUGUCCCAGCCCUCCACCCUUCUAGGUACACACAGAGAUAACUAUCAGCAUGUUCUCUCCCACGUUCAACCUAAUCUCUUCGCUAUGGAGAGUUCCCCAACCUUCCUACUGUGCAUUGAUUGAGAACAGACCUGAGCUGUCCAGUCCUUCUAACAAGCUUAACCAAUUCCUCUCCAGAUCCUAGUUGCCAGGGAAGAAGGUGUCUGAAGCAGCUAAGUGACUCUCCAUAGAGAAUGUAAUUCCAAUGUCCAGUCUGUUGGCCAUGUUCUGAAGGGAUGUUAAGGUAGUCCCCAGGAAUGCAGGGAGAAGGUCAGCUCAGAGGAGAAGGACACAGAAGGGGGAGGAAGUCAUGUCACUCUUGUAUCAUGAGGUUGUGGUGAAGAGUUUGGGAUUGCCUUCAUAAUGAGUGGGUUUACUAUGAGCAUAGACUGCAGAACCUUGAAGCAGCAGUUGGUGUGGAAACACCCUUCGUGUGUGUACAAAUUCUCUGUGUUAUGUGUGUGGUUACACAUGCAUUUGUGCACACAUGGGUAUACUCCUCAUUUACUUUCUAGGGUUUUUGUUUGUUUGUUUGUUUGUUUGUUUGUUUGUUUUGACAUAGGGUCUCUCUCCAAACCUGCAGCUCACUGGUUCAGUUACACCCGCCGAGCAGCCAUCACGUUCCUGCACUGGGAUUACAGGUGUGGCUGCUCUGCCCAGCUGUUCAGAUGGGCACUGGGGAUCUGAACUCAGGUCCUUAUGCUUGUGUAACAUGCACUUUGUCGGCUAAGCCAUAUCCCCAGCCCCUCAUAACAUCUUCAAGAAGCCCAAUGAGAGUUCAGGAAACUCAGCAGGGAAUUGAGGAAGAACUCUAUGAAAGGAAGGCUAUGUUCUCCAUGUGAGGUAACAAGCCCAGGGCAGCUAGAGUUACACAGUUAAGAAAGGUGGACCCAAAGCAAGGAAAGUAAGGACAAAGUUGAACCCAAAUAGUCAUUGGCACCCGUGUCUUCCUUUCACAUGCGGGAGAGUGUUGGGCAGAAGAUAACAGAGCCCAGAUUGGGGAAGAAGCGUGAACUGGAGUCUGGCUGCACACUGAUGAUGCCAUGUAGCAGGUUAGUGUACAGCUGCCCGCCUUCCAAGGCUGACUUCCAAGAUGACUGCAGCUGCUGCCAUCUGAUGCUUCUUUCUAGAACAUACACCUGAGUCCGUGUAGGGAAGGGAACUCUGGGAAAUGUGUAGCUUAGAUUGGUUGAUGCAGUAGGAGCUUCCACAGAGUGGGAAACUGAGAAGUAAGAGCUGAGCCAGUCUUUGAUUCUGGUUGUGGUUCCCAUGACAAAGGCUCGUAGAUAAACCUCCCAGUGCUUCUGGGGAAGGGCAGCAUAGGGCGUUCGCUUGUCUCCUUUCACUCACUCUUUUCCAUGAUAAGUGUAUUUAUUGUCUUCUGUUUUUCAUGCUCUCAGAUCUACACUCUUAAAUUCUUUAAUGCCUGCAUCUCUAGAGUGCUUUGAAUGUUAUGGGGAGUCACCACCCACCUUCUGGUUGGAUCGAAGGCCAGUUUUACAGGAAGAAACUCAAGCCUGGUACUGCAAAUCUGGCCAGGUCUGGGGAGCCAUAGGCACCCUGGUGAAGCUCUCACUAUUGAUUUGCUACAGGCCAUAGCGUCAGACUGCUUUCUACAUUCGUGUCUCUGUACCCAUGCAUCAACACAGCUCUCUAUCCUCAUCUGGGAAAUGUUCCUGUGCAGUGGACAGUGGUUAAUGGGGAGACUCACAACUAGUUACAGUGUAGGCAGCAAGUAGUCAGCAAGAAGGCUGUGCCUCAAGGCUCAAGAAUACUGAAGAAGGGUGUGUGAAAAGAUUAUAAAAGCCAGAGGUCAGGAAGAGCUGUAGCUAAUCAGUGUCUUCUGAACAUGACAAGACCAUUGUAGUCAUGAACUAAAAGCAGCUCUGGUUGUCUGCACAAAACCUACACAAGAUCAAGCCAGUUAACUUUCCAGCUCUGGCCUCUGGGGCCUGGGGAAUCCUCUCAUAAGAAACUGUGAUGUGGGCUGGAGGGAUGGCUCAGUGGUUAAGAGCACUGACUGCUCUUCCAGAGGUUCUGAGUUCAGUUCCCAGCAACCACAUGGUGGCUCACAACCAUCUGUAAUGGAAUCUGAUGCCCUCUUCUAGUGUGUGUUUGAAGACACCUACAGUGUGUGUGUGUGUGUGUGUGUGUGUGUGUGUGUGUAUGUGUGUGUGUGUGUGUGUAUGUGUGUGUGUGUGUGUGUAUGUGUGUGUGUGUGUGUGUGUGUGUGUGUGUAUACACAGAAAGGGGGAAGGAAGAAACCAUGAUGAUUGAUACUGAUUUUAGAUCAUAGGUGACUAAAAGCUUCCUACUGAUUUAUGAAGCUGAACUAAUUAGAAUGCUCACAUUGAAUACAAAACCAGAUUAUAAGUAGCUGGAUUUAGGAAUGCAGUUGCGAAAUUCCUUACUGGGUGUUAGCAAAUACACACACUUGCUGUAUUUUAGUGAUUAAAAUCUGUUUGGAACUUUUAAUUCCAGGCAAAGGCAGGGAGGUCUCUAUGAGGGUCAGGUCAGCCUGGUCUACAGAGCAAAUUCUAGGACAGCCAGGACUAUAUAGAGAAACCCUGUCUUGAAAAGCAAAAAUUAUCAAAAAAAAAUAUAGCUCGAAGCCAGAAACUAUCACAGGAUACUAAAUUCAUUAUAAUAAGUAAGCACUCAAAACCAUACAAUAAAAACUGAAAGAACAUCUGAUUAACUAUUAAUUAACUACUAUUAAUUAAUUAAAGUGAUGACUACAGGGGCUGGAGAGAUAGCUCAGUGGUUAAGAGCAAUGGAUGCUCUUACAGUAGGCCCAGGUUCAGUUCUCAACACAUGCAUGGCAGUUCCCAACCACCUGUAACUCUAGUUCCAGGGAAUCUGACUCCUUCUCUAGGCCCCAGGCACCUGUAUGGUGCACAUAUAUACAUGCACACAAUACUUACACACAUAAAACAAAGCUAAAAUAUUUUCAAAUGAAUUGCAUCAUAAAAAUCAAGAAUGGAAUUCUAGACUACCAAGGUGGUGGUGCAAUACGCCAAUGUCUCUUACAUUCUGAGAGUCUUGGAUUUUGCUGGACCUCACAGCCAGAGUUAAUAAUACACCUUCAGGUCACCUAAGAUUUGAGAUUGCUGUCCUACUGUGUACUCAGCUUGUUUGUUUAACCUGCCUUUAGGAGAACAAAUGUUAACAAUUGACUUUCCUUGCCUUGGAGUUCCCAUGUGAUCAACUUUUACAACCUAGGCAAAUGCAUGGCUGAAACCUUGUUAUAUAUACCCGUAUGUGCCCUUGACCCAGAAUAGUGUGUGUGUGUGUGUGUGUGUGUGUGUGUGUGUGUGUGUGUGUGUGAUGGCAACAAAUACUGAAAACAGCAAAUAGGUCAAAAGCAACCUUCUAAGGUGAAUAUCUGCUGUGCAUGCUGAAGACGAUACAUUGCUUGACUGUAAGCAUUUGUUUGUUUUCUGGGUCAUUUGUUGGAGUCAAUGACUUAAUCCCUCAUUCCUUCCCCAUGUGAUACUUUCUGUGCUCAAAAACUACAGACCAAAAGCCCUUUGUUAGGGACACAGACAUAGAACAGAGCGACACAGGCACAGGGACCGAUUCACAAGACAGCAUUCAGGCAAGCAAGGAUUCAGACUCAGAACAGACAGAUAGGAAAUGGCAGAAGAUAUAUAGAGAGAGUAGAGAAUUCAUAUCUCGGCUCACUCUUCGUUAAAGUGCUUUUGGGUGCUCUGAGAUUAUCAUUUGAUGUGUAUCCAUCCGACCUGGGGGUGGAGAUAUGGUCUUUACUAAAACAGAAUCCUUACUUUGGACACAGAAACAUAGUUGGCUAUACAAAGCGCUUAAAGGAACUCUGGGUUGAGAGUACUUAACUUUCUCUCUUGCAAAUAUUUUCCAGAAAUUUAUUCACUUUAUUGGCGAUUUCUUGGCAAGAAAUUGCAAUAGAUUCUUAACUGGAGAGAUUGCAGUAUUGAUGUCUAUUGUACAGUAUAUUAAUAUAUACAAUAUUCAAAAGAUGUCUCACAAAAUAAAAGAUAGCAUAAACAACACUGGUGGAGAAUGUAAGUGCAGGAGACUUGAGAGAUGGCUCAGUGGUUAGGGCCUGACUCCUUGAUGAUGGGAUAUAAUGUGAAUGGUAAAAUGAACACUUUAGUCCCCAGGUUGCUCUCUAUCUCAGCGUUUACCACAGCAACAGAAGCAAAGUUAGACAGGAGACUUAGAGCAAAGCCUGGAUACCUUUGCUAUAGGCCUUAGAUGCUACCUGAUGACAUUCCUAGCCUUUGGGUUAGUGAAACUACAAGUCAGUAUAUACCAAAAGGAAUGACCUAAUAGUCACAAGGAGGUCACGUCACACAGUGACUUAGAGGCUGAGAUGGUCCAAGUGAAAUUGGAUCUGGAUCUGCAACAUCCUAACUCUCUAUGUACAGUCAAUUAGCCUCGUAGAAUGCUUAAUACAGAUGUGGCUUUUUUUGUGUUUGUUUUCCCAGAAUCAAUCAUCAACCAUCACCACAACAACCCAGGGCAACUGUUAUGUGAUAUAUAUAUAUUUUUUCUUGCCCACGACAUUUUUUAACUUGCUUUUUGGGUUGGUGGCAGGUCAUGCUUGUGGAGGUCAGAGAACAACUUGCAGACGUUGGUUCUCUCCUUCCACCUUAUAGGUUCUGAGGAUCAAAUUCAAGUCACCGGUUUGGUAGAAAGCACCUUUACCCACUGAGCCAUUCUGUCUGCCCUUGGUCCAUCCUUUUGUCCUUGCGUCUCCUGUAUGGAGAGUUUUGGCUUAGUUAGUUAUGUUCUGUGACUGUGCUUUUGUUUUACUGCCAGGUCUGGGAUAUGGGACUGCUUCAGACCGUCCACAGCAUCUGGUUAUGAUCGAGCUCAUCCCCUAGCAGGGGUAAGUUUACACUUGGGAUUCUGGAGACUCUUGAGAGGGUAUAAAAAUGUCAGAGGCCUAAGAGGCUGCAGUAGCUUGCCGCCCCUGCUGUUGCUGCUUUUGCUGGCUGCUGACUGCGUUUGCUGCUUGCUGGUUAGAGAUAUCCUGAUAAUUGCCCCCAAAGAACUGAACACCCCUAAAUCAGCAGGAAGCAGUCUAAUGAGAUGGACACCCCCUCUCUCCUCUAACCUUCUUCCUUACCUACCUAGUGUUGGGGGGUUGGAAGGGAUUGGGAUGGAGAAGGGUGGCAGAUAUAAUAAUCCAAUAAAGUAGCCAGAAAGUACUGUUAUAAUCUCCAGACAUUUUCUGCUGUCCGGGGAAGGCAGGGCCUGCACCUUCUAGGGAAGAGUGCUAGUCAUCAGCUCGUGGCACUCCUCUUUAUGGUUACUAUUUAUUCUUACACAGGGUUUCACCAAGCUGCCCAUGCUGGCCUUGACCUCAUUCUGUAGCCCAGGCAGGCCUUGAGUUUUCUUCCUUCUGCUUCAGCCUCGGCAUCCCCAGACUACAGGUCAGGGCAGUCCCCACUUCUACAAACACUCUUUCAUUGCUACUUGCAUGCAAGGCACCUCCCCAGUGCCGGGGCUUGUAAGUCCAGUCAGAAAGGUAGGCACCAAUCAAGUCUUAAAUGAAAAAAAAAAAGUCUUAAAUGAGUGUGUAAUUAAACUGUAAGAGUCAGGAAGCCAAAGGGAGGGCCACGCUAGUGAAGGCUGGGGUUCUCAGCCCUGCUCAGGGUUUCCAGGCUCUUGCUGCCCCAGGACCAAAAGUUCAGAGGCAGAGUUAGGAAUUAGGACAAAGUUUACAGAUGAAAGUCCACAUUCAGGAGGGGGAACAGGUUGCUCAGACACCCUUCCUAAGAAACGAAAAAUAAAGGUGAGGGUGUUUUUUCUUUUCCUUUUCCUUCCUCUCUCCCUCCUCCUUGUCCCCUUUCUUUUUUCUUUUUCUCCCCUCUCUCCCCUCUCUCUCCUCUCUCUCUUUUCCUCCCCUCCCCUCUCUCUUGUCCUAGUGCUAAAUGGACUUGAACAUCCAGAAACCUCUGAGAAACGCUUCUUCAGCUGUCCAGAAGAAAGGUCUAGCCCCAGGAUCUCUCCCUUCAGGGCAGCUUUGAUGGUUUGGUAGACUAUUAGCAAUGGUCCAAGGUGAUUUUUACCUCACUUUUCUUACUUGUAACUUUGUAUAUUCUAUGUAACCCAGAAUCAUGCUGUAAGCUAUGCUCUGCAGUGUAUCUAUGAUGGAAGAGAUCAUUUAAGGCUAGUCAGCCCCCUCCAACCCAACCUACAGCAGCCUGAUCUUCAUAAGGAAAACAACAAAAUUAAACAUAUACAAGACAUAAGUCCAGUUGUUUUCAGGUUCAACAAAUAUGAUGAGAUACUUGUCUUUCUAUGGAUUGCUAAGACACUACCCAUUUUAGAAGGAACCAUUGCUGCCUCUAACAGUCAGAGAGCAUGUGGCCAAUGUUUAGGAGCACGUCUCAGGAUUUUUACACGGUCAGCUGACCAUUUGAAUGGCAGUUUGGUUAUUUGUAACUAUUGGUCUGUUUGGGCCUGUUUCCUUCUCUCACGUCUUAGGUUCUCUUUUCUCCCACUACCAUUCUGAUAUGUAUGGCCUUAAUUUGGUAUCAUUAUGGAUAUAUAUUUUUUUCUUACUUUGGUUAUUGCUUUUUAUUGAGAGAUUCUCCAAACUUCUUACUGACCCACCCUUCAGGUAUCACACACAGCACUUCUGAGGCUGUUUCUCUUGCCGGGGUAGUACUCAUCCAAUAUGCAUUUAAAUGUUGGGUCUUCUUGUCCCACACAAUGGCACACAUGUCAUCUUCACACUCGGGAAAUGGAGCCAGGAGGGUUAUAAGUUUGGUACCACUCAGUGCAACAAAGAGAGCACAUCUCUCAAAGUUGAGGGAGGGAUGAAGAAAGAAAGGGACAGGGGAGUUGGGCGGGGAAGAGACUUCAUCAAGGAGAACACUGAUGUCCAUUGAAUCCUAGCUAUUUGGGGUUCAGAUCUUUCUGGAAGCUUCUAGAUUGUUCUUUGACUCUGUGUGGGCCAGAGGCAGAGGACAACUUCAACUAUCGUUCCUUGGACAGAGAAUGGCAGCAGCAGGCUGUGUGGCCCAUAAAGCAGCUGUGUCAUUUUGUCCUGCACUGUCAGGGAAGGAUCAAGGAUGGAGACCGAGUCAUUCUAAGUUUGCUCCAAUUCGAAAACUAUGUCCAGCACCCCAGGAUCUGCCCUUGGCCUCCUCCCCAACCCAGCACCUACCAAAUGGGGCCUGGCUUCAGAGUGUCAGUGCUUGGCCUCCUGUGUGGAUGCUAUUUAUAAAGGGGUUAAAAAUCCCACUCUAACCUGUCCCUAAAUCCAUCAGGACCAAUUCCUCUCUGACACCUUAGAGACCUGCCCCUCUGUUCCCUCCCAAGAGUACAUCUCUUGCUGGUUCAGGUUAAUUCCCUCCACCCCAGCUUUCAAUUUCAUAAGUGCUGACAAGAACUCCAUACUAGUCAAUUUCUCCAUUGGGUGGUGCUAUUACGGUUUUAAUGUCAAUUUACCACAAAUUAGAUUCACCUGAGUAGGGAGUCUCACCUGAAGAACUAUUCCCAUUGCACUAAUGGAAUCUUCUGGACAGGUCCAGCCUUUUGAAGAAGGGGGCAUGAAAGAUUAAAAAGGAAGGUUGCUGGCCUCUCUUGCUGGCUGGCCAGCCUUCCUCGGAGCUGCUGCUGCUGCUGCCUCCUCACUGGUAUCAGAACCAGCAUUGCCAAGCUCGCACCACAGGCUAAGCACCAGCAUCCUUCCAGGAAGCUUCAGGUUUAUGUCACUAGAUUAGGACUGCUGAGGUGCCAGACCUUGUGGACAGCGACGACUGGGUUGUUGGCCUCUCCAGUGAGACAGAGCCACUGCAGGACUCUACUGAGACACCCCAUCUCAGGACAGAGCAACUACCUGGUUCUCAGACUCUUAGGUGUGAUCCAGCUGUUGUUACUUACUGUAAGCUGACUUAAUAAAUUCAUAGUUUAUGUAUGCAUAUUGACUUAUAUAUAAUAAAUUCAUGUAUAUGUAUUGUGUAUGUAUAUAUAUAUAUUUUUCAAUCUCA